rnacentral:ncRNA from 1 species
UGAGCGCCGGGCCACGCGGGUGAGAGCCGUGCGGGUGACGAGGAAAAGGAUCAUCGAAAGAUUCGGCGGAUGUCCUUUUGGCUGAGGGCCGUUCCAGCCAGGAGCAGGGGACAAAAACCGGCAGCGAUGCCGGAACAAAU